rnacentral:tRNA from 1 species
GAUAGUUUAGCUUGGAUAGAAUGUUAGGUUGCGGACCUAAUGACUCGGGUUCAAAUCCCGGCGGGGGCA